rnacentral:snRNA from 1 species
UGUGAGGGCGAUCUAGCUGCGACAUCUGUCACCCCAUUGAUGGCCAAGGUUGAUUCGGCUGAUAUGGCUGGGUAGGCGGGUGUCCCCUUCCUCCCUCACCACUCCAUGUGCAUCCCUCCUGAAUAUGCAUGCUUGGUGGAAGAGGAUAAUGUUCCAGAUAUAGGAGGAGUGUACAGAGGUUUCCAGUCUUUGGUCCCAGGUAUACGAUAGCUGCGCUCCCCUGCUAGAACCUUCAAACAAGGUCAAGUUUUGCUAGCAACACAAUUUCUAGUGAGGUCACAAUGGUGUACUCCUGCCAUGU